rnacentral:rRNA from 1 species
AUUGAACGCUGGCGGCAUGCUUUACACAUGCAAGUCGAACGGUAACAGGCCGCAAGGUGCUGACGAGUGGCGAACGGGUGAGUAAUGCAUCGGAACGUGCCCAGUCGUGGGGGAUAACGCAGCGAAAGCUGCGCUAAUACCACAUACGAUCUAUGGAUGAAAGCGGGGAACCGUAAGGCCUCGCGCGAUUGGAGCGGCCGAUGUCAGAUUAGGUAGUUGGUGGGGGAAAGGCUCACCAAGCCAACGAUCUGUAGCUGGUCUGAGAGGACGACCAGCAAUACGGGGACUGAGACACGGCCCAGACUCCUACGGGAGGAAGCAGUGGGGAAUUUUGGACAAUGGGCGCAAGCCUGAUCCAGCAAUGCCGCGUGCAGGAAGAAGGCCUUCGGGUUGUAAACUGCUUUUGUACGGAACGAAACGGUUCGGGUUAAUACCCUGGGCUAAUGACGGUACCGUAAGAAUAAGCACCGGCUAACUACGUGCCAGCCGCCGCAGUAAGAC